CCAUUACCACACUCACGUCAAGCUGGCACCAGCCCAGACUGAGUCUUCAGCCUAGCUGGUGUCAAGCAGCCUGGGCACUGGACCAGACUGGACUAUCUUGGGUAAAAAAAAAGCCUGCAUAAAAGCUCAGCCUGUGAGGGACCCAGACUGUUCUCCUGUGCCAUCCCUACAGUCCCUGUUCAACCUAAAGUCAAAUUGCCUUCUCCCCAGCUUACUUUGCCUGCACUUAAUCCAACCUCGUGAGUGACCAAGACACUGCCCUCUUGUGCAAACUGCAGAGUCCCAGGCUCAAGUUGGGUCAGGAGAACAUCUCACCAGCCCAGACUGCCACCAUGAUUGGCGAGAUCUGUGCUGCAGCAACCUUCAUCUCCAAGUUCCUCUGCACCAAGGGCCUCAGGAAUGAGGAGCAGCUACAGAUCUUCAGCCAGAGCCUGCAGGAGCUGCUGGCAGAACACUACAAACACCACUGGUUCCCAGAGAAGCCCUGCAAGGGAUCGGGUUACAGGUGUAUUCGCAUCAACCAUAAGAUGGAUCCUCUGGUCGGUCAGGCAGCACAACAGAUUGGACUGAGUAGUCGAGAGUUGUUGAGGCUCCUCCCAAGUGAGCUCACACUGUGGGUUGACCCCUAUGAAGUGUCCUACAGGAUUGGAGAAAAUGGUUCCAUCUGUGUGCUGUAUGAAGCCUCACCAGCGGGAGGUAGCUCUCCAAACAGUACCAACGUGCAAAUGGUAGAUAGCAGAAGCGGUUGCAAGGAGGAACCUCUUUUGUCCAGAAGAAGCCCUUCCAAAAACUACAAAAUGAUGGCUGUAUCAGGUUCAGAUACAGUCCACCGAUGGAUGACCUUAUAA